AGAAAAUAUCGUUUGGUCAGUAUAAAAGUAAUUUCUGUCUUUCACAGGUUUUGCUGACGGUGGGAUGCCGUGAUUUUGAACACACCCAAUAACACAAGCUGGUCAUGUUUUCUCGUCCAUACAGAAUGAACUUGGGAAGAAACAGAUUUUCUCUCACUGAGUUUCCAAACAGAGAAGUGCCAGAAGAGGCCGAAAACACUUGGUCUGCAGUUUCUCACACUGAUGUUCUGCAGGAAAACGGCAAAAACAGCGGCUUCAUUAUCAGAUGGUGAGGCGCGUCUGUAACGGAGACUCAUCACUCAUGGUCUGAAAGCGUGUGUGAGACGCCUGUGAGAAACACAAGAGAAGAUGACAGCCAGUCAGACGGACAGACGCUCGUCCAUCAUCAGGACCCCAGAGCGCUGACUCAGCAGCAUCAGCAGAUUCACUGCAGAACGACGGUGGUCAUGUGACGCGUGUCCUGCAGCGAAACGGCCGAGACGCACUGGACUGAGACACACUCCGGUAGGACUGAUGCUGCACACACACACACACAC